GACGAACGCUGGCGGCGCGCUUAACACAUGCAAGUCGAGCGAUAACCAUGGCUUCGGCCAUGGGGAGAGCGGCGAACGGGUGAGUAACACGUGAGCGAUCUGCCCUCGACACCGGGAUAGCCCGGGGAAACCCGGAUUAAUACCGGAUGGCCUCUCGAGCCCACGGGCUCGUUAGAAAAGAUGGCUUCGGCUUUCGGUCGAGGAGGAGCUUGCGGCGGAUUAGCUUGUUGGUGGGGUAACGGCUCACCAAGGCGACGAUCCGUAGCUGGUCUGAGAGGACGAUCAGCCACACUGGGACGGAGACACGGCCCAGACUCCUACGGGAGGCAGCAGUGGGGAAUCUUGCGCAAUGGGCGAAAGCCUGACGCAGCGACGCCGCGUGAGGGAAGAAGGCCUUCGGGUUGUAAACCUCUUUCAGGAGGGACGAAGCCACUCGGGUUAAUACCCCAGAGGGUGACGGUACCUCCAGAAGAAGCCCCGGCUAACUACGUGCCAGCCGCCGCGGUAACAC
rnacentral:rRNA from 1 species